rnacentral:tRNA from 1 species
GCCCCCGUAGCUCAGUGGACAGAGCAGGAGCCUUCUAAGCUCUUGGGCGGGGGUUCGAAUCCCUCCGGGGGCG